CCAAAAUCAAGCAUGCACUCAUCAAAGCAACCCAAACUCCCCGGUGCUCCAGCCGAUGACUUUUCUGCUCCGCCAUUUUCACCGUCUCGCCUUACCCAAGAACAAGAAUCCGCAAUCAUGGUUGCUGCUCUAAAAAAUGUUGUCUCUGGCGAAGCUACCACUAGUAGCACUACUGCCACAUUAACAGAUUUCUCACAGGAGUUGUUUCACCUUCAGUUCUCUACUACUGCUUCUGCUACUUCAUCACACUUCGCCGCUAGUUCUUCCGCCAAUACUGUUACCGCUGGUUUUGUCAACCCAUUACUGCCACCAUCGGAUCUUGACACGUGCAAUGUUUGCAGGAUCAGU
rnacentral:misc_RNA from 1 species